AAUCCAUGGUGGGGGCAAUCACUUUCAUACUCCUUAAAACGUUCCCAGGCAUCAUAGAAAGUGAUAACUUAGAGU
rnacentral:snoRNA from 1 species